CGAAAGCCGUUGCGGUAAAAGUAGAGCACCUUGGGAUGGGCGCGCACGGCGCGCGGGUCAAAGUCGUCGAGCGAGAGGCCGUCGAGUGAGCGGAUGCGCGACAGCGCCACGUAGGCCUGGCCACAGUCAAAGAUGCCGCUCAUCGAAAUGACGGCCCGGUCCAGCGACAUGCCCUGACACUUGUGGAUGGUCAUGGCCCACGCCAGCAGCAGGGGCACCUGCCAAUAGUUGACGGUGCCCACGCCGGGCUCGGUGAUGGACCACUUGUGCGGCACGAUCCGGGUCUCGAUGCCGCAGGCAAAGGCCACCACGGGGUAGCGCCCGCCGUCGUCGCCCGGCUGCGGUUCGAGCAGCGUCGGAGCCACCGGCCUCUGACGUACGGCGCCAUCCGUUUUGUCGGCGCCAUUGUCCUCAUUGUCAUCGCAUUCCGCGGCGGCAUCAGCCGCGGCCCUUGCGCGCUCCUGUUCCUCGACCGCCGUGGCAAAGCGGCGCACGACACCGCGCGCCCCGUUGACCAGGCCGCGCUCGACAUCCAGAUUGGCCAGCAGGACCACCUGCGCACCCACCUUGAGGUGGACAUAGGGUGCGGCGGGCGCAUUCUUUUCAAGCACUGCCCGGUGGGCGUUGAGCGUGGCCUCGAUCUUGGGCGUCAUCUUGACGCCCUCGUCGAGGCGCCACGGGCACUUGGAGGCAAAGGUCUCGGACUCGCCGGUGAGGCCGUCCAGCCGCGCGGCGUUGAUGGCGGCCACCUGGGCGACGAGCGGGCACAGACGUGUGGGCUCCACGCCGUCGUCGGUGGCGAGCGCGGCGCCGACGCGCGCCGCAAACAGGGCCUCGUCCUCGGGCGUCUGCUCGGCAAAACGCAUGCGGUUGAGCGCGCCCACGAGCGUGUCGUCCUUUUGGCGAAAGACCGUGCGUAGGUCGACCACCUGGAGGGCGAGCGCGCGGUCGGUCCACAGCGGCAGUUCAAAGCAAAACUGCGGGCGCUCGGCGCCGCCCGGUGCCGGCGUCCGAUCGACGAUGGCCGGCAGUUGGGCAAAGUCGCCCACGAGUAUGACCUGGAUGCCGCCAAAGGCGCGGUCCAUGCGGCCGCGCAUCCACCGCGCCAGUUGGUCGCACUUGUGAAAGAACUCGGCGUCGACCAUCGAGAUCUCGUCGACCACGAGCACGUCCAUGGCGCGCCACCGGGCCACAACCUUGGGUCGCGUGCCCAGAGCCGCCUGCAGGGCGGGCAGCGGCUCGGCGCCGAGGCCGCAGCCGAGCACGCGGUGAAGCGUGGUGCCGCCCACGUUGACGGCGGCCAUGCCCGUGCUGCCGGUCACCUGCACGGUCUUGCCCUGGGCGCGCUUGGCGGCAAUGAUGUAGCGCAGGAGAAAGGACUUGCCGGCGCCGCCGCUGCCCGACAGCAACAGAUUGUGGCCGGCCUCGGCCAGCCGUGCGGCAUGCGCCUGCGCCGGCGACCAGCGCACGUCGCGAAAGGUCCCUAGGUCGCUGCCCUCGUCGUCGCCUGCCAUUCUCCUUCUCCCAAGGGUGGGGUGCGAUAGAAAAGUCCUCUUUUCUUGUCUCUGUUCCGUCCGUCGAACCGGUCUUGCAAUUCAACAAGAAGAUUAGGACGGUGGCGGCGAGUUGGGUUUUUCUGGCGGUGGCCGGCACUGGACAGAGAGACCCCCCUUUUGUG
rnacentral:lncRNA from 1 species